rnacentral:rRNA from 1 species
GACGAACGCUGGCGGCGUGCUUAACACAUGCAAGUCGAACGGUGAAGCGCUUGCCUUUUUGGUGGGUGUGGAUGAGUGGCGAACGGGUGAGUAACACGUGAGUAACCUGCCCUCUUCUUCUGGAUAACCUCAUGAAAGUGGGGCUAAUACGGGGUAUUCCGGGUCUGUCGCAUGGCGGGUUUGGGAAAGAUUGCGCCUUUGGGUGUUUUCGGUGGGGGAUGGGCUCGCGGCCUAUCAGCUUGUUGGUGGGGUGAUGGCCUACCAAGGCGGUGACGGGUAGCCGGGCUGAGAGGGUGGACGGCCACACUGGGACUGAGACACGGCCCAGACUCCUGCGGGAGGCAGCAGUGGGGAAUAUUGCACAAUGGGCGCAAGCCUGAUGCAGCGACGCCGCGUGAGGGAUGGAGGCCUUCGGGUUGUGAACCUCUUUCGCCAGUGAAGCAGGCCUGCUCCUGUGUGGGUGGGUUGACGGUAGCUGGAUAAGAAGCGCCGGCUAACUACGUG